AACAGGAUUAGAUACCCUGGUAGUCCAUGCCGUAAACGUUGGGAACUAGAUGUGGGGGCCAUUCCACGGCUUCCGUGUCGCAGCUAACGCAUUAAGUUCCCCCGCCUGGGGAGUACGGCCGCAAGGCUAAAACUCAAAAGGAAUUGACGGGGGCCCGCACAAGCGGCGGAGCAUGCGGAUUAAUUCGAUGCAACGCGAAGAAACCUUACCAAGGCUUGACAUAUACGAGAACGCUGCAGAAAUGUAGAACUCUUUGGACACUCGUAUACAGGUGGUGCAUGGUUGUCGUCAGCUCGUGUCGUGAGAUGUUGGGUUAAGUCCCGCAACGAGCGCAACCCUCGUUCUAUGUUGCCAGCACGUAAUGGUGGGAACUCAUAGGAGACUGCCGGGGUCAACUCGGAGGAAGGUGGGGAUGACGUCAAAUCAUCAUGCCCCUUAUGUCUUGGGCUUCACGCAUGCUACAAUGGCCGGUACAAAGGGCUGCAAUACCGUAAGGUGGAGCGAAUCCCAAAAAGCCGGUCUCAGUUCGGAUUGAGGUCUGCAACUCGACCUCAUGAAGUCGGAGUCGCUAGUAAUCGUGGAUCAGCAACGCCACGGUGAAUACGUUCCCGGGCCUUGUACACACCGCCCGUCAAGUCAUGAAAGUCGGUAACACCCGAAGCCAGUGGCCCAACCGCAAGGAGGGAGCUGUCGAAGGUGGGAUCGGUGAUUAGGACUAAGUCGUAACAAGGUAACC
rnacentral:rRNA from 1 species